rnacentral:rRNA from 1 species
AGAGUUUGAUCCUGGCUCAGAAUCAACGCUGGCGGCGUGCCUAACACAUGCAAGUCGCACGAGAAAGGGGAGCAAUCCCUGAGUAAAGUGGCGCACGGGUGAGUAACACGUGAAUGAUCUACCUCCGAGUGGGGAAUAACUGAGAGAAAUCUUAGCUAAUACCGCAUAACACUUACGAGUCAAAGCAGCAAUGCGCUUGGAGAGGAGUUCGCGGCCGAUUAGCUAGUUGGCGGGGUAAUGGCCCACCAAGGCGAUGAUCGGUAUCCGGCCUGAGAGGGCGCACGGACACACUGGAACUGAAACACGGUCCAGACUCCUACGGGAGGCAGCAGUGGGGAAUUUUGCGCAAUGGGGGAAACCCUGACGCAGCAACGCCGCGUGGAGGAUGAAGUAUCUUGGUACGUAAACUCCUUUCGAUGGGGAAGAUAAUGACGGUACCCAUAGAAGAAGCCCCGGCUAACUUCGUGCCAGCAGCCGCGGUAAUACGAGGGGGGCAAGCGUUGUUCGGAAUUAUUGGGCGUAAAGGGUGCGUAGGCGGUUUGACAAGUCUGAUGUGAAAUCUCUGGGCUCAACCCAGAGUCUGCAUCGGAAACUGUCGGGCUUGAGUAUGGGAGAGGUGAGUGGAAUUUCCGGUGUAGCGGUGAAAUGCGUAGAU